AACGAACGCUGGCGGCAUGCCUAACACAUGCAAGUCGAACGAGACCUUCGGGACCAGUGGCGCAAGGGUGCGUAACGCGUGGGAACCUGCCCUUAUGGUCGGAAUAACUCCCCGAAAGGGGUGAUAAUACCGGAUAAUGUCUUCUGACCAAAGAUUUAUCGCCUUUGGAUGGGGCCGCGUUGGAUUAGCUAGUUGGUAGGGUAAAAGCCUACCAAGGCGACGAUCCAUAGCUGGUCUGAGAGGAUGACCAGCCAUACUGGGGCUGAGACCCGGCCCAGAUUCCUCCGGGAGGCAGCAGUGGGGAAUAUUGGACGCUGGGCGAGUGAAUGAUGCAGCAAGGCCGCGUGAGUGUUGAAGGCCUUAGGGUUGUAAAGCUCUUUUACACGGGAUGAUAAUGACGGUACCGGGAGAAUAAGCCACGGCUAACUACGUG
rnacentral:rRNA from 1 species